rnacentral:rRNA from 1 species
GAUGAACGCUGGCGGCGUGCCUAAUACAUGCAAGUCGAGCGAACAGAUGAGAAGCUUGCUUCUCUGAUGUUAGCGGCGGACGGGUGAGUAACACGUGGGUAACCUACCUAUAAGACUGGGAUAACUCCGGGAAACCGGGGCUAAUACCGGAUAAUAUUUUGAACCGCAUGGUUCGAUAGUGAAAGACGGUUUCGGCUGUCACUUGUAGAUGGACCCGCGCCGUAUUAGCUAGCUGGUAAGGUAACGGCUCACCAAGGCGACGAUACGUAGCCGACCUGAGAGGGUGAUCGGCCACACUGGAACUGAGACACGGUCCAGACUCCUACGGGAGGCAGCAGUAGGGAAUCUUCCGCAAUGGGCGAAAGCCUGACGGAGCAACGCCGCGUGAGUGAUGAAGGUCUUCGGAUCGUAAAACUCUGUUGUUAGGGAAGAACAAAUUUGUUAGUAACUGAACAAGUCUUGACGGUACCUAACCAGAAAGCCACGGCUAACUACGUGCCAGCCGCCGCCGUAA